rnacentral:rRNA from 1 species
UACGGAGGGUGCAAGCGUUAUCCGGAUUCACUGGGUUUAAAGGGUGCGUAGGCGGGUUGGUAAGUCAGUGGUGAAAUCCCCGAGCUUAACUUGGGAACUGCCAUUGAUACUAUCAGUCUUGAAUACCGUGGAGGUCAGCGGAAUAUGUCAUGUAGCGGUGAAAUGCUUAGAUAUGACAUAGAACACCAAUGGCGAAGGCAGCUGGCUACUCGGAUAUUGACACUGAGGCACGAAAGCGUGGGGAGCAAACAGG